GUUGGCAGCCGUGGUGCAGGAAGAGACGCGCACCCCCCCCUCCCUCUUCACUUCGCGCACACUUCCGUUGUCGCCAUCUUUCGUUUCAGGCAAGCGUGUGUGUCGUCUCGCGUCCUGCUCCAUCGCGUAGUUUUACGAACUACUGACUUGGUUCUUGUACGAGCCGCAAAAUGCCGGGUUUUAGCAGCGUUGGCACAUUUAAAAUCUUCAUUGGUAAUUUAGCCGAUAAGACCUCGAACGCGGACAUAAAACCACUGUUCGAGAAAUAUGGAAAGGUCGUGGAAUGCGACGUGGUAAAGAAUUAUGGCUUUGUGCAUAUGGAGAAUGAGGAGGCAGGCCGAAACGCGAUACAGAAUCUAAAUGGACACAUGGUUCAUGGACAGCCGAUAAAAUGCGAGGCCGCGAAGAGUCGUAAGGGACCUAACACCCCUACGACGAAGAUAUUUGUGGGCAAUCUUACAGAUAACACCAAGGCGCCGCAGGUGCGCGAAUUGUUCGCCAAGUACGGCACCGUCGUCGAAUGCGACAUCGUACGAAACUACGGUUUCGUUCAUCUGGAGGCGACUGGCGACGUGAACGACGCCAUCAAGGAGCUGAACGGACAGAUCGUGGAUGGGCAGCCGAUGAAGGUCCAGAUAUCUACUAGUCGUGUGCGACAGAGGCCAGGGAUGGGAGAUCCGGAACAAUGCUAUCGAUGCGGACGAGGCGGUCACUGGUCGAAGGAGUGUCCCAAAGGAGGAAUGGGAGGUGGCCCAGACAGAAACGGAUACAGGGACCGAAUGUUCGGACGCGAUCCAUAUCCUCCUCCGCCGCCACCACCUUUCCUCCGGGACCGGCUCAUGGGUGGUGGCCGCUUUGGGGAUUACGAUAGCUACUACGACAGGCGCGGUUUCGAGGACACCAGGGACCUUUACGAAAGGCGGUUUACGGGUAUGGGAUCCAUGCGUGACACUGGCUUCUCCCGUGGUAACGAGUAUGGCAUGUUCAGUCGCCGAUCACCCCCUCCAAGUGGCAACAACGGCCGGUUCAGUGCACCUCAGGCGUACCAUCUUUGUCCAUGAACGCGGGCAACCCUAGAGAGACAGUCCCGGGUCAGCGUUCAAGUCGUACAAGACGCUCCCUAUUACGUACAUCACUCAGCCGGGAGUGGCGCGGAGGCCUGGGAUGAAGAAACGUACCUAAGGAAUGCGAAUUAGAAUUUCUUGAUCGCACUACCGGUCCGCGAGCCAGGACGUUCUGCAAUUUUAAAUGAGACUCGUACGCUGUAGAUAGAGAAAAGAAAGAAAAGAAAAACAGGGCUGGCGCGAUUUUGGAAUGACGCAUCGAAUCUAUUAUCUUUGAAACGUGUCGUAAGUAGAAACCAGCUCUCCAGAUGAUUUGGAUCAUUAAGUUGAUAUCAGCAUCUCUUUAAUCUUUUCAAGUCAAGACUUACGAACUAUAACGUCAAUUCGAUUGGAUCUAAUUUGAUUCAAUUUUUCCGAUGCGUAAACAUUAUUUCUUUUCUUUAACUAAAAUCGUGUACUGUCUCUGAUCAAUAUAUUGACGUAACAAAUUUACAAAAAUAUUAGUGCAUUAUAAAUAUUUUCAAAUGAAGCAAAUAUUCAAGUAUAUAUUUUUUCUCUCUUUUUUUUUUGUUUAGUAUCGCUAAAAUGUAUACUUUUUUCUUGUGCGAUACAUAUCUUGUAAUAUAAGAUUCAAUUUCUUGUUUUAAACUAAGCAAUAGUCACUGUUUUUCCUUAUUAUUAUUUUACUAUUUUGCUCAUUGAAUUAAAUUCCUAAUUUAAAUAGAUAACUUUUUAAUUAAAUUUGUAUUAUUAGCACAGAUAUUAAUUUAGAGUUAAAAGUUUCGUAGCACAAAUACAAAAAAUUAUUUCACUAAUAAAUUAUAAAUUACGAAUUUUUAUAUUGAAUCGAAUCGGAAUUUCGUGAAAUGGAUAGUGAAAAUGUCGCGGAGAUUUCGCGAUUUCGUCUUUGAGCUUUUUCGAAAUUACAAUCCAUAACUCUUGAUAGUUGACUUCUACUCACGAGGUUCAAAGCUUUUAAUGUAUGUAAAUCCAUUCGCAAAACGUUCAAAUAGAAAACAGAAUUGAUUGAAUA
rnacentral:misc_RNA from 1 species